rnacentral:piRNA from 1 species
UACAAUGUAUUGUGUUGCAAUUGGUUAGC